CGCAUCUGUGCAUGCAGCAUAUCAAUAAGCGGAGGAAAAGAAACUAACAAGGAUUCCCCUAGUAACGGCGAGUGAAGCGGGAAGAGCUCAAAUUUGAAAUCUUAAAGGGUUUCCCUUUACGAAUUGUAGUUUAAAGAAGUGUUUUCUGUUGAGGUUUUGGUAAAAGUUCUUUGGAAUAGGACAUCAUAGAGGGUGAGAAUCCCGUAUUUGACCUUUACUUUCAACUUUGUGAUACACUUUCAAAGAGUCGGAUUGUUUGAGAAUGCAGUCCAAAAUGGGUGGUAAAUUUCAUCUAAAGCUAAAUAUUGGCGAGAGACCGAUAGCGAACAAGUACCGUGAGGGAAAGAUGAAAAGAACUUUGAAAAGAGAGUUAAACAGUACGUGAAAUUGUCAAAAGGGAAGCGUUUGACACCAGUGUUGUUUUUCUGAAAAUCAAUUAAAGAACUGUUUAUGCUAAGUUGUUUAGACUUUAUCAGCUAACUGUUUAGUUUUGAGCUUUUCUUUAAUGCACUUUUCAGUUAACAAGUCAACAUCAAUUUCUUUUGCUGUAAAAAAGCUUGAGGAAGGUGGCUUGAGAUUCGUCUUAAGUGUUUAUAGCCUCUUGCCUAUGCAGUCGGUGAGAUUGAGGUCUGCAGCGUAGAUCCUUCGGGGCUAAAUGCAUUUGUGCUAAGUUAUAGCAUUUUAUAGACAACUUGUUGACUAUGAUUUGUCUUGUAGCUUACUCGCUUAUGUUAUUUUACCUACGCUUAGGAUGUUGAACGCGCACAGAGUCUC
rnacentral:rRNA from 1 species